rnacentral:tRNA from 1 species
GCCGAAGUGGCGGAACGGCAGACGCGCUGCGUUCAGGGCGCAGUGCCCUUAUGGGCGUGGGGGUUCAAAUCCCCCCUUCGGCACCA